AGCAGCAGAUCAUCUUCAUCACUGUGAUUGUCUUUCAGCUCAGCUCCAUCCUGAUCCCAGACUUGAAGCAGCGACAAACGGCGUCUCGUCAGGGAUAACAGAUGAGCGCAGAUGAACAGUGUCAGGAGAGGACCACGCAUGUGACUGGAGCUGUGCGGCAUG